GAUGAACGCUAGCGGGAGGCCUAAUACAUGCAAGUCGAACGGUAACAGGUAGCAAUACGCUGACGAGUGGCGCACGGGUGAGUAACACGUACACAACCUGCCUAUGACUGGGGCAUAACUUCGGGAAACUGAAGCUAAUUCCCCAUAACACUGCAGCAAGGCAUCUUGCAGCAGUUAAAGCCCCGGCGGUCAUAGAUGGGUGUGCGUUUGAUUAGCUAGUUGGUAAGGUAACGGCUUACCAAGGCUACGAUCAAUAACUGGUCUGAGAGGAUGAUCAGUCACACGGGCACUGAGACACGGGCCCGACUCCUACGGGAGGCAGCAGUAGGGAAUAUUGGACAAUGGAGGCAACUCUGAUCCAGCCAUCCCGCGUGAAGGAUUAAGGCCCUAUGGGUUGUAAACUUCUUUUCUCUGGGAAUAAAAACCGGGAUUUAUCCUGGCUUGAAGGUACCAGAGGAAUAAGCACCGGCUAACUCCGUGCCAGCAGCCGCGGUAAAAC
rnacentral:rRNA from 1 species